rnacentral:rRNA from 1 species
GUAGGGUGCGAGCGUUAAUCGGAAUUAUUGGGCGUAAAGCGAGUGUAGACGGUUAUUUAAGCCAGAUGUGAAAUACCCGAGCCUAACUUGGGAGGUGCAUAUGGAACUGGGUAGCUAGAGUGUGUCAGAGGGAGGUAGAACUCCACGUGUAGCAGUGAAAUGCGUAGAGAUGUGGAAGAAUACCGAUGGCGAAGGCAGCCUCCUGGGAUAACACUGACGUUGAGGCUCGAAAGCGUGGGGAGCAAACAGGAUUAGAUACCCUGGUAGUCCACGCCCUAAACGAUGACAAUUAGCUGUUGGCCCCAUUAAGGGGUGAGUAGCGAAGCUAACGCGUGAAAUUGUCCGCCUGGGGAGUACGGUCGCAAGAUUAAA